GAUGAACGCUGGCGGCGUGCUUAACACAUGCAAGUCGAGCGAUGAAGCUCCUUCGGGAGUGGAUUAGCGGCGGACGGGUGAGUAACACGUGGGUAACCUGCCUCAUAGAGGGGAAUAGCCUUCCGAAAGGAAGAUUAAUACCGCAUAAGAUUGUAGUACCGCAUGGUAUAGCAAUUAAAGGAGCAAUCCGCUAUAAGAUGGACCCGCGUCGCAUUAGCUAGUUGGUGAGGUAACGGCUCACCAAGGCGACGAUGCGUAGCCGACCUGAGAGGGUGAUCGGCCACAUUGGGACUGAGACACGGCCCAGACUCCUACGGGAGGCAGCAGUGGGGAAUAUUGCACAAUGGGGGAAACCCUGAUGCAGCAACGCCGCGUGAGUGAUGACGGUCUUCGGAUCGUAAAGCUCUGUCUUCAGGGACGAUAAUGACGGUACCUGAGGAGGAAGCCACGGCUAACUACGUGCCAGCCGCCGCAGUAA
rnacentral:rRNA from 1 species